rnacentral:lncRNA from 1 species
ACUAGGUCCAGGCCAUCCUAGCAGAAACCUGACAGAGUUCUCCUGAGAAGGCCACGGAGAACGCGCCCAUUUUAAUCAGUGCCACAGGCUCCAUAAGGUGGGGCUGGGGCGAAGAGGGAUGGAGCCGUAACACAGGACCAAACCACAGCUCUCAAGGAGCCCGACGCCUGCACCCUUAUAUACAAGGGAAAGCCCAAGGCUUUGAAGAACCGCUCUCUGCCAGCACCAGAGAAGUCUCACAGAUGUAGGACGAGUCGACUGACUUAGGACAGAAGCUACAUUUUCAGGCCCUUUAACUGCAGGCGGUCAGCCCUUUCCAUGGAGGUUUCAGCAGUGGCAUUGGGAUAGUCCGGAAGCUCGGUGGAUUUGCAAACAGUUGAUUUUGUAGAAAUUCAACGUGAUCAACAGCAGGAUUCUCCCUCCUGCCCUACCCCACCAGGUGCAGAGCACGGUGUUCCUCCAAUGCCUUUGGCCGGUGUCUUCCUCCGUCCUCUUCUUGCGCCUGCUGUUCUGGUUCUGAUUCUGUCGUGAGCUCGUCCUGGUCACUCCUCUCCGAACCCUCCUGGUGUGGACCUGGCUGCAGAACUCUCGGCAGGCGCUUGCUGGUCGGACCAUGUGGCCAAGUUGAGUUGAACAAGGACAGAGUUUGAAGACCAGAACUUGGAGGCAAGCCCUGCUCUUCCAAGGGCAGCUCCAGGACCAGCCGGGGAGUCUGGAAGUUUGUGCUGCAUCUGCACGGACACCUUUAAACAGGAAUACAGUGGCACGGGGAUGCUUCCUCAGCAGACUCCAUCAGCCACAGGAUUGCCCAGGCUUUCCAAUCCACCUUCCUCAGCCUCCCAGAGUGUUGGGAUUCCUUGUCAAUGUGCCUGGCCUCCACAAAACGUGUGUACGAGUGACACUGUCACGGGAGCAGUGCAGACGAGCACACCACGCAGAGGCAUAGAGAGGAGGCCACAGUCUGGUGGGACAGGAAGCCAACCACACAGCCCCAGCCUGGAAAUGAUGCCACCCAAAGUCUGUAGGGAACAGUGAGGAGAGCUGCUCUGACAUGACGCUGUGGCCCUGGGGGAGGCAGCAUCUUAGCUUGGUUUGGAGCGUGGAUCUGAGUCCGGGUAGAGGUUGGGGAAUAUUCCAGAGAGCAAAGAGAAAGCAGCUUGAAUCAAUCGCAGAGGAGGCAGCACAUGGGGGAAGCAGCAAGCUCUUCAGUUUUAGCUUGCAAGUCAUUUUGAGGAAGAGAAAUGUGAAAGAAUAUCUACAUGGAGGCAGGAAAAAAGUUACAGACAAAAGCCGAGUGCUUAUGCACCUGUAACUCCAGCUCUCAGGAGACUGAGGCAGGAGGAUUGCAAGUUCAGGCCAGAGUGGGCUACUCUGAGAUCCUGUUGCAAAACACAAAACAAGACAAAUCAACGUAAACAAAAACCAGAACAAGACAAAAGUUGAAGACAAGAUCACUUUGGAGGCUCAGUUUAAAGUGACUCUUGUUAAGAAAAUAAUGAAAGAAGAUGGUAUAAAGCAUUCUGCCAGGGUAAGGGUUGGGAACGGAAAUAAAGCUCUCACAUGGGCAGCACCUUGUAUUUGAAAUCGGUGUAAGGAUGAAGAAGACAAUGCUGAGCUGGCUCCCUGGCAGUUACUUACUUACUUUGCAGCCCUGGAGAUUGAACCCAGCGUGUUCACACUGAGCUCCAUCCCCAGCCUUUAAACUUUUUUAUUUUGAGGCAGAGUCUUGCUGAGUUGCCCAGGCUGGGCCUGAACGCUCGGUCCUUCUGCCUCGGCCUCCCAGAAUGCUGGGAUGACAAGCGUUCAGCACGUAUUCCACUUAUUUUUCAUUUUUAAAUGAUGC